GGCAAAAAUGUCAAGAACAAUGAAGAACACUCAUGAAAAACUCAAAAAAUUUCCAUGAACAUUUUUCACCCAAAGACAUCCCAAAACCAUUAAAACUUAAGGGAAAUAACAUAUAACCAAACUAGGGUACAUAGGGGUUCCAAAAGUUACUUGAAAACACUUUUAACAAGUCAAACAUGAACCCAAAAAACCACCCUUUGGAUUUGGCCGAAUUUUCCCAAAAACAUGGCACCAAAUUUUAGCUCCAAUAUUCAUGCUCAUAUGAACUACAUCUACAACAUUUGAGAUGGCAAAUUUUCCAACAAAAUUUACAUUCAAAGAAACAAGAAUAAAGCUUGUAACAUAUUACAACAUUUAAAUCAAAACUAUGAACUACAAAACCCAAAAGGAUUCACCAACUACUAGACCUAGGCUCUAAUACCACUUGAAGGAAAUUUUGUGAAAAACAUGUUCAUUUGAGCAACAUCUAUAGCAUGCAAUUAACAAAUUUAAAGGCGGAAUCAUGCUUGUAUGCACUCAAAAACAAAACAUUACCCAUGAAAUUCAAAGCCUAAUAGAUUGGUGAACCUUGACUCAACUUAAAACAACAUUUGUUAGUUGAGAAAUUAUACCUUUGUAGAUUCCUCUUUGCAUAAGCAAAGGCUAAUCACCCAAAAAGAGGGCCUUCAUUCCUUGCAUCUUAGAUCUAUGGAUUUGGAUGGAUGAAAUGGUUCUCCAAGUUUCCAAAAUUGAGAACCUCUAAGUCUCUUCACCAAGGUUAGAUUGGAGAAGAAAUGAGUGACCUUGGAGUAGUAGGAUUGCUAGCUAAACCCUCCAAGGAGGCCGGCCACUUUAGAGAGAAGGGAGAGCUUAUGUUCUCAUCCUUUCCCCAAAAGAAAACCCUAAUGAAUUUUGGCUAUAAAGUCAUAUUUAUACCUUAAUUCAUUGGAGUGGCAAACUUGUAAAUAAGUCCAAAACUCACUCCAUCUCUAAAUGGCCGGCCUUAGGGUAUUAUUAGGCUAAUUGGGCCUUUGUGAAUCAUUAUUCAUUAAGUUGUCAUACAACUUAAGUCAAUGGGCUUGACUUUCGAAGUCCAUUCGGCCUUAAGGUCCAAAACUAUCCUGAGGUCUUUAACGAACUUAUUCGUUUGAUUAAUUAACAUAUUAAUUAAUCUUUGCCAUAAAUAAUUAAACCAUUUAAUUAUUCUUACUCAUCUCCAUUGUUUCUUCAAUCUCCACCUUAUACGGUGUACGAUCCAUUAGGUUCCUUUUAGCGAGGCAGUGGGCGAUUAAAACCAUUUCAAAUCGAUUGCGAAUUGAAACUUACUUUCAAUUCUCCCUUUAGUGAUUAUACACGUUUAGGGCUUCCACAAACCAUGAGUGACACCUAGCAGUAUAUAAUGGUUACCCAAGCUAAUCAGAAGAGGUGGAGAACCUAUUCAGUUUAGGAUUACAAAUGCAAUACGGUCUUUCUCUAAUACAAUACUUUUGACCGCAUUGUUUGGUUUGAUAGUUUAUUCAUGUCUAUUAUCCAAUGUGAUUCGUGUGCUUAUAUGAUUACCUUGAAUGUGAUUUGGAACGACUUCCUCAAUCUCAUUCAUACUCUGGCCAGAGAUUCUUAAUCAUAUCAUAGAGUAUUCUCCCCCAAACAGUUUGAAGGUUAGAGAUCCCUUGUUGCGCAUUCACUUGCCUCCAUGGCUAAGUGGCUUAACCCCGACGAUGCCGUGGACACCCGCGGAUGGGGUGACUUUGACAUAAUCAAAGAUCAAGUACCUAACCACAAGACAACUAUGAUGCCUCAGGUCAAAAGACUACUUUGCAUUAUCCCAACCAUGAGUU
rnacentral:lncRNA from 1 species